rnacentral:tRNA from 1 species
CCUCCCGUAGCUCAGUGGUAGAGCGUCCGAUCGGUGUGCGGAAGGUCAUAGGUUCGACUCCUGUUGGGAGAA